GCAUACUAAUUGGCCACCCCUCUGCCCCUGCUGCGGCCAUGCAAGUAUAACAACUCUCUCUAUUGCAGCCGAAACCACGACUGCCGCAACUUACAACUCAUUACCUGCCGAUAUCCUGACAACUCAACUUAGAACGCCGCUUUCACUGCUCGACCGUACUCGCAACCAGAAUAAAUCACACAAACACUCUGUACUCGUCGUUGUUGUUUGUUGUCGUGGAAGUAAAACUUGUGAGAUGAAAUGUUUUGAUAAUAAAAUGUACGAUGUCAAAAGAA